rnacentral:lncRNA from 1 species
AGAAAUAGAUAAUAUAACAGCAUAAAUACACAAUAUAGCACACACCAUAACACAUUCAUAAUCCACACAUAUAUCACAAACCAUAACACAUACAUAUAGCAUAUAGCACCCAACAUAACACAUACAUACAACAUAUAACAUAAUCCAUAGCACAUUCAUACAUCAUAUAACAUAAUCCAUAUCCCAUUAUAUAUAUAUAGCACAUCCAUGUCAUAAUAUUUGGCAUUACUACAUAAUAUU